CAAAGCACCGUUAACGAAGCCUCUCAAAGCCUUCACUGUGUGCCUCCACUUCUACACGGAACUGUCCUCGACCCUGCUUUCUUAAUUUUAUGGCUCUUCUGGGAAACUCCUCCCCUUUUCCACACGAACCUUGUGGGGCUGUGAAUUCUUUCUUCAUCCCCGCAUUCCCAAUAUACCCAGGCCACAAGAGUGGACGUGAACCACAGGGUGUCCUGUCAGAGGAGCCCAUCUCCCAUCUCCCCAGCUCCCUAUCUGGAGGAUAGUUGGAUAGUUACGUGUUCCUAGCAGGACCAACUACAGUCUUCCCAAGGAUUGAGUUAUGGACUUUGGGAGU
rnacentral:lncRNA from 1 species